AUUGAACGCUGGCGGCAGGCCUAACACAUGCAAGUCGAGCGGAUGAAGGGAGCUUGCUCCUGGAUUCAGCGGCGGACGGGUGAGUAAUGCCUAGGAAUCUGCCUGGUAGUGGGGGAUAACGUCCGGAAACGGGCGCUAAUCCCGCAUACGUCCUGAGGGAGAAAGUGGGGGAUCUUCGGACCUCACGCUAUCAGAUGAGCCUAGGUCGGAUUAGCUAGUUGGUGGGGUAACGGCCUACCAAGGCGACGAUCCGUAACUGGUCUGAGAGGAUGAUCAGUCACACUGGAACUGAGACACGGUCCAGACUCCUACGGGAGGCAGCAGUGGGGAAUAUUGGGCAAUGGGCGAAAGCCUGAUCCAGCCAUGCCGCGUGUGUGAAGAAGGUCUUCGGAUUGUAGAGCACUUUAAGUUGGGAGGAAGGGCAGUAAGUUAAUACCUUGCCGUUUUGACGUUACCAACAGAAUAAGCACCGGCUAACUUCGUG
rnacentral:rRNA from 1 species